GCGCUCCAGGCUCCCGAAGGGAAAGCGGGCGCGGGGCUCCCCGGGGCUGAGCGCGCUCCUCGGGGCGGGGGGGGCGGCUCCCCAGGGGCUGAGCGCGCUCCUCGGGGCAGGGGGGGCUCCCCCGGGGCUGAGCGCGCUCCUCGGGGCGGGGGGCUCCCCCGGGGCUGAGCGCGCUCCUCGGGGCGGGAGGGCUCCCCAGGGGGCCGACGGGUCCUCCGCGUCCCGGGCGCUCGGCGGCGGCCCCCUCCACACCCCGCGGGCCCCCGGACCCCGCCGGGCUGCUGCACCCCCUCCCCUUCGGGGGCGCCUCUGGCGCGGAGCGGGGAACCGGAGGCCCGCAGAAGUGGAAGCCCCGGAGAGACUUUAAGCAGCGGGACCCCGGGACUCCUCCGCAAGAGAGACACAAAGCUUCGGGGCUGGAGGAGCUGAGCUGAGGAUCAGCACGUUGGAGGGGACCGGGAACUCCGCACACAAAGGACGCUCCACUUGGCUGGCAGCCACGGUGUCACGAGUGGAGAAGGGGCAGGAUGGGGGGUGAUGAAAGAGGUGAGGGGUGAGGAGAGUAAGCGCUAAAGUGUGUUGGAGAGGCAGGUGGACAGGGGUGUUUGAAGCUUCUUACUCGGGAACUGCGCGAAGCGAAGCCACUGCCCAACUUACUUCCCCAGGAACAGUGUCACCUCCAGAAUGCUUCCAUCCCUCCGGGACAUCUAUCUUCUCCAAGCCCCAACCAUGAAAGAAACUUCCAAAUUAGCAGAUAUCGCUGAGAACCUAAGUUGUUCCAGGCACUGAUAGAGAGGUGUGAGUAGCAUGGUAUAAAAAGUCAUGAACGAAUUCACAUGAGGCAGUAGAAGAUGCACGUCUUCUCAUGGGAGAACUUCUAGAGGACUAAAGGUGAGGUUACUGGCCUCUUUUAUUCUUUUCAUGAUGCCCACCCAUUCCUGUGAAUGACUCCUGUAGCAUCACUAAAAUGUCAUCUCCAGCUUGUUCUCCAGGAAGAAUGAACGUGUGGAAGCUGGCAUUUGAUUUCUUCCUGCUGGCUACUGACCUUAGAGAGACAGCAUGGACAGUGUGGAUACUCACUCUAACAUCAGGCAUGCUAUCAGAAAAGAGACAGAUAUGGAGGUUCUUGUACCAACAAGACUGUAUACUAUAUACUAGACAUUCUGGUGACCUACUGAUUCAGAGUGAGAAGUUUCAACAGGCUGGUUUAAAAGGAAUUGCAACUGUGAUCACCAAUCUUGAGCAAGAUUUUGACCUUGGUAUUCAUCAACAAUUGGUGAGUUUGGAGUUCAUCAGGAGAGAUGUAAUGGAAUUCCACCCCACCCCCAAGGAUUCUAUAUGAGGGCCCUUUUUUUUUUUUUUCUAUAUGAGGGACUUUGAUACACUUUUAAGCAAUAGCUCUAGCACUUUUGACUUUGUGGAGGACGGAUUGGUUUAAAAGGAUGAUGUAUUUGCAGAUUUUUAAGGCCCUACUGUAGUUUCUUUUCUUUUUCUUUUCGUUUUUUUUUUUUUUUUUAAGAUUUUAUUUAUUCAUGAGAGACGCAGAGAGACAGAGGCGGAAAAGCAGGCUCCCUGCAGGGAGCCCGACGUGGGACUCAAUCCCGGGGCUCCAGGAUCAAGCCCUGGGCUGAAGGUGGCGCUAGACCGCUGAGCCACCCGGGCCACCCCCUAUUGUAGUUCUUAAUUGCAAUGUUAGCUAAAGGGAUAGAUGUUAGGAAUUAACUAAUAUGCAUGGUCUAUAAAGCCAUAGAUAUAUCAGGUGGAUAAGGCUCAUGAGUUAGGCAAAUCAAGAGAUGAUAGACUGAAAAGUGAUCUCUAACCCUAAAGGGGGCAGCAGAUGUCCAUCUCCAGGUAAAUGCUACACAAUGCCAGAGAACUCAGAGGAGGAGCUGAAAAUCCUCAAGUUUGUUUUAAGGCUCACUCUGGGAUUAGGCAAAUAAAUAACUUGCUUUGUCCCA
rnacentral:lncRNA from 12 species